UACAGAGGUCCCGAGCGUUGUUCGGAUUCAUUGGGCGUAAAGGGUGCGUAGGCGGUCUGCUAAGUUUGAUGUGAAAUCCCGGGGCUCAACCCUGGAAUUGCAUUGAAUACUGGUGGACUAGAGUACUGGAGAGGAAACCGGAAUUUACGGUGUAGCAGUGAAAUGCGUAGAGAUCGUAAGGAAGACCAGUGGCGAAGGCGAGUUUCUGGACAGUAACUGACGCUGAGGCACGAAGGCCAGGGGAGCAAACGGG
rnacentral:rRNA from 1 species